rnacentral:misc_RNA from 1 species
GUUUUGUGUUCUUUCUCUUCACCGACACGAAUAUGAGCUCUCUUCUUCAAAGUUUUCAGAGCAAAGAAGCUCUGCCCAUGUCGCAACCUACAGAAGAAGAAAGAGGAGAAGGACUUGGCGUACGCAAAAGGCUGUCUUCUCUCUCUCUAAGGAUGAACAUGCGCAUGAGGUCUACUUGUCAACAACAACAACCCAUCCUCUCAUUCUACUCCUCUACCUCCUCAUCCUCAUGGGCAUUUCGCCGAUCCAAAUCCUUGUCCGAAUACACUGGUAAUUCCAUUAGGAAAUGGUGGGAUUGGGGAUUGGGCUGGAUCAUGUCCAAGAAGCCAGCCUUUGCCAACGAUCUGGAAAUGAAUGAAGAGGAGAAAGCCGUAUUGGGAUGCAACAGCAAGGGCAGCUGGAGGCACGUAUUUUUCAAAAUAAGGUCGGAGCUGCGGAGGUUCACCGGCUCCGGCAACAAUAUGGGUCUACCUCAAACCUUCCGGUAUGACUACUCCAGGAACUUCGAUGACAACUUAAUCAGGAACAACUGAUGUAUUAUUACUCUACUAUUCCCACUGUGAUGUUGGUUAAUUCAUUGAUUGAUUUGAGUCGUUUUGUUUUUAUAUAUUAAUAAUAGAUCGGAGUUCACAUGGAGUACGUACGUAAAUGUAUAAAGUGAAUUAUUUUUAUCUUCAUCAUAUAGUCAGUCAGUCCAGUCCAUUACGUUGUAUUAUUAUUUUCCCCUCGUGUAAUUCUUUUUACCAUUCUCGAGUGUAUUUGAUUUUUAUGCAUAAGCACUACUGCUAUAAAUUUGCCUAAUUAUUGUGGUU